UACGGAGGAAGCAAGCGUUGUUCGGGAUUACUGGGCGUAAAGAGUUUGUAGGUGGCUUGCUAAGUCAGACGUGAAAUCCCUCAGCUUAACUAGGGAACUACGUCUGAGACUGGCAAGCUUGAGUGCAGGAGAGGAACGCGGAAUUCCAGGUGUAGCGGUGAAAUGCGUAGAUAUCUGGAGGAACACCGGUGGCGAAGGCGGCGUUCUGGACUGUAACUGACACUGAUGAACGAAAGCCAGGGGAGCAAACGGG
rnacentral:rRNA from 1 species